CCCUACGGGGAGCAGCAGUGGGGAAUAUUGGGCAAUGGGCGCAAGCCUGACCCAGCAACGCCGCGUGGAGGAAGAAGGCUUUCGGGUUGUAAACUUCUUUUACGAGGGAAGAGCAGAAGACGGUACCUCUUGAAUAAGCCACGGCUAACUACGUGCCAGCAGCCGCGGUAAUACGUAGGUGGCAAGCGUUGUCCGGAUUUACUGGGUGUAAAGGGCGUGUAGCCGGGCUGACAAGUCAGGUGUGAAAUUCCGGGGCUCAACCCCGGACCUGCAUUUGAAACUGUUGGUCUUGAGUAUAGGAGAGGCAGGCGGAAUUCCUAGUGUAGCGGUGAAAUGCGUAGAUAUUAGGAGGAACACCAGUGGCGAAGGCGGCCUGCUGGACUGCAACUGACGGUGAGGCGCGAAAGCGUGGGGAGCAAACAGGAUUAGAUACCCGUGUAGUC
rnacentral:rRNA from 1 species